rnacentral:misc_RNA from 1 species
GAUGAAGAACGUAGCGAAAUGCGAUAAGUAAUGUGAAUUGCAGAAUUCAGUGAAUCAUCGAAUCUUUGAACGCACAUUGCGCCCCCUGGUAUUCCGGGGGGCAUGCCUGUUCGAGCGCCAUUUCACCACUCAAGCCUCGCUUGGUAUUGGGCAACGCGGUCCGCCGCGUGCCUCAAAUCGACCGGCUGGGUCUUCUGUCCCCUAAGCGUUGUGGAAACUAUUCGCUAAAGGGUGCUCGGGAGGCUACGCCGUAAAACAAACCCAUUUCUAAGGUUGACCUCGGAUCAGGUAGGGAUACCCGCUGAACUUAAGCAUAUCAAUAAGCGGAGGA